rnacentral:rRNA from 1 species
AUUGAACGCUGGCGGCAGGCCUAACACAUGCAAGUCGAGCGGAUGAAGGGAGCUUGCUCCUGGAUUCAGCGGCGGACGGGCGAGUAAUGCCUAGGAAUCUGCCUGGUAGUUGGGGAUAACGUCCGUAAACGGGCGCUAAUACCGUAUACGUCCUGAGGGAGAAAGUCGGGGAUCUUCGGACCUCACGCUAUUUGAUGAGCCUAGGUCGGAUUAGCUAGUUGGUGAGGUAAAGGCCUACCAAGGCGACGAUCCGUAACUGGUCUGAGAGGAUGAUCAGUCACACUGGAACUGAGACACGGUCCAGACUCCUACGGGAGGCAGCAGUGGGGAAUAUUGGACAAUGGGCGAAAGCCUGAUCCAGCCAUGCCGCGUGUGUGAAGAAGGUCUUCGGAUUGUAAAGCACUUUAAGUUGGGAGGAAGGACAGUAAGUUAAUACCUUGCUGUUUUGACGUUACCAACAGAGUAAGCACCGGCUAACUUCGUG